rnacentral:rRNA from 1 species
UACAGAGGGUGCGAGCGUUAAUCGGAAUUACUGGGCGUAAAGGGCGCGUAGGCGGCCACCGCAAGUCGACUGUGAAAUCUCCGGGCUUAACCCGGAAAGGUCAGCCGAUACUGCGGGGCUAGAGUGCAGAAGGGGCAACUGGAAUUCUCGGUGUAGCGGUGAAAUGCGUAGAUAUCGAGAGGAACACCUGCGGCGAAGGCGGGUUGCUGGGCCAGUUCUGACGCUGAGGAGCGAAAGCGUGGGGAGCGAACAGG